GGUAAACGCUGGCGGCGUGCCUAAAACAUGCAAGUCGAACGGUGUCCUUGGGCGACAGUGGCAGACGGCUGAGUAACGCGUGGGUGACGUACCUGUUUGUGGGGAAGUAACUGCCCGAAAGGGUGGCUAAUACCGCAUACGCCCGUUGCAUCGUAGUGAUGGGGAAAGCUUCGCAAGAGGCGCAGACGGAGCGGCCCGCGUCCGAUUAGCUGGUU
rnacentral:rRNA from 1 species